CGAAGGAGGGGCACACGGGGAAAGGUAAUAACUUCUAUAUGGGCAUCUAGUUGGAUAAAGGGGUGCAUAGAUUAAGUGCGCCUAGGCUCUUAAGAAGGAUGUUCCCAGAGUUCGAUGGAGCCCAACUCCAUUUCUCCUUCCACAGGUCGUGGACAUCGGUGUGUAAAUAUGUUCUGAAAGAUUACAAGGAACCUUUUAUCUGGGGGCAGCAAUCAUAGAAGGGGAUCCAGGAGAACCUCAAAGCCAGAGAGAUGCAUAAGAAGUAGCCGGACAGAAAGCAAUGGAUCGUGCAAAGGCGGAG
rnacentral:lncRNA from 1 species